CACGUAGGGGGCGAGCGUUGUCCGGAUUUAUUGGGCGUAAAGAGCUCGUAGGCGGCUCGGUAAGUCGGGUGUGAAACCUCCAGGCUCAACCUGGAGACGCCACCUGAUACUGCUGUGGCUAGAGUCCGGUAGGGGAGUGUGGAACUCCUGGUGUAGCGGUGAAACGCGCAGAUAUCAGGAAGAACACCAGCGGCGAAGGCGGCACUCUGGGCCGGAACUGACGCUGAGGAGCGAAAGCGUGGGUAGCAAACAGG
rnacentral:rRNA from 1 species